rnacentral:rRNA from 1 species
CCUACGGGAGGCAGCAGUGGGGAAUAUUGCACAAUGGGCGGAACCCUGAUGCAGCAACGCCGCGUGGGUGAAGAAGUACUCCGGUAUGUAAAGCCCUGUCAGCAGGGAAGUAAAUGACGGUACCUGACCCAGAAGCCCCGGCUAACGACGUGCCAGCAGCCGCGGUAAUACGUCGGGGGCAAGCGUUAUCCGGAUUUACUGGGUGUAAAGGGAGCGUAGACGGGAAGGCAAGUCUGUAGUGAAAGCCCGUGGACCAACCACGGGACUGCUUUGGAAACUGUGUUGCUGGAGUGCAGGAGGGGUAAGCGGAAUUCCUAGUGUAGCGGUGAAAUGCGUAGAUAUUAGGAGGAACACCGGUGGCGAAGGCGGCUGACUGGACUGUAACUGACGUUGAGGCUCGAAGGCGUGGGGAGCAAACAGGAUUAGAUACCCUAGUAGUC